rnacentral:rRNA from 1 species
CCUACGGGUGGCAGCAGUGGGGAAUAUUGGGCAAUGGGCGCAAGCCUGACCCAGCAACGCCGCGUGAAGGAAGAAGGCUUUCGGGUUGUAAACUUCUUUUCUCAGGGACGAAGCAAGUGACGGUACCUGAGGAAUAAGCCACGGCUAACUACGUGCCAGCAGCCGCGGUAAUACGUAGGUGGCAAGCGUUAUCCGGAUUUACUGGGUGUAAAGGGCGAGUAGGCGGCAAAGCAAGCGAGAUGUGAAAACCAUGGGCUAAACCUGUGGCCUGCAUUUGAAACUGUCUUUCUUGAGUACUGGAGAGGCAGACGGAAUUCCUAGUGUAGCGGUGAAAUGCGUAGAUAUUAGGAGGAACACCAGUGGCGAAGGCGGUCUGCUGGACAGCAACUGACGCUGAGGCGCGAAAGCGUGGGGAGCAAACAGGAUUAGAUACCCCAGUAGUC